rnacentral:misc_RNA from 1 species
GAUGAAGAACGCAGCGAAAUGCGAUAAGUAAUGUGAAUUGCAGAAUUCAGUGAAUCAUCGAAUCUUUGAACGCACAUUGCGCCCGCCAGUAUUCUGGCGGGCAUGCCUGUUCGAGCGUCAUUUCAACCAUCAAGCCCCCGGCUUGUGUUGGGGACCUGCGGCUGCCGCAGGCCCUGAAAACCAGUGGCGGGCUCGCUAGUCACUCCGAGCGUAGUAGUUACAUCUCGCUCAGGGCGUGCUGCGGGUUCCGGCCGUUAAAGGCCUUAUUUACCCAAGGUUGACCUCGGAUCAGGUAGGACUACCCGCUGAACUUAAGCAUAUCAAUAAGCGGAGGA